AUAGAACAAACCGUAGAAGCAAGCGUGUUUGACCGUGUUCAAUUCUAACAAAGAUAUAGUCAAGGUUUGGGUCGUCGUUAAUUAAUUUAAUUAACAAUAAUGAAAACCCCUCUCCCUACUUAAUUAAUCAGAUGAAGCACUUAAAUUAAUUGUCUUGGAUCUUCUUAAUUGCUCUCCAACAAGAAAGGUCAAAAAAAGGGGCAAAAUAAAAAUGAGUUUUCAUCAUGAACACCCUCCUCCUCAAGAAGAAAGCACGACAGUAUAUCCGCCACAACAAGGCGGAUAUCCUGCGAUACAAGGGUACGGAGGCUACACGGCGCAACAAGGGUAUCCGGCGGGGCAAGUAUACCCAGCGGCAGGGACACUGACACUACAACAAGGGUAUCCGGGGCUAGGAUACCCACCGCAACAAGGGUACCUAGGACAAGGAUAUGGUGUAUACCCACCAGGUUAUGUGUACCCGACUCCACCAUAUACCCCUCAACUCACGUAUGUGCAGCCACCUCCUCCUCAGCAGCUCAAUAAUCAUAUUAGUAGUCGUGGAUUUAUCAAAAGAUGGCGCUACUGCUGGUCGUGGUGCUACCGUUGUGCAGGAAGUUGUUAAUACUCAGCUCCCUAUAGUAAUCAUCAUCAGCUUGCAUUGGCUGCAGUUCAAUUCGUUGUUGAUGUACGUCUUCUAGAUGAAUGCAUGGCUCACUCGAUGGUUAUCAGCUAGCUAGCAUACUGAUGAUGACUUUGAAAGGCUUAACAUUAUAAUAAUGUUGCCAUAGAUACAACCAUACCAUGUGUGAACCGUACCGUAGGAUUUAUAUAUAUAUAGGUAUAUCCACGUAUUUAUAUUGGAGAUGAUAUCAAUUGAUAUCAUCUUCCUCCAUACCAGUGCUGAUAUUAAGCAACAGCAUUUCAUAUCUCCAAUAUUGUGUACGUGUACUCUUAAAUGUGUACAUUUUUCAA